CCUACGGGGGGCAGCAGUGGGGAAUAUUGGGCAAUGGGCGCAAGCCUGACCCAGCGACGCCGCGUGAGGGAAGAAGGUCUUCGGAUUGUAAACCUCUUUGACAGGGGACGAAGUAAGUGACGGUACCCUGAAAACAAGCCACGGCUAACUACGUGCCAGCAGCCGCGGUAAUACGUAGGUGGCGAGCGUUAUCCGGAAUUACUGGGUGUAAAGGGUGUGUAGGCGGGAUCGCAAGUCAGUGGUGAAACCCGUGGGCUCAACCCACGGCCUGCCAUUGAAACUGCGGUUCUUGAGAAUGGG
rnacentral:rRNA from 1 species